CUGACUCAGACUAACACCCCCCUGGGCCUGCCUGCUCCGAAGAGCUCCUGUCUGUCUGCUUGUCCCAUACUGCACGCUAUCCCAGCGCAGGCUGCUGCAGACGCCAGGUGAUAUAUGCUCUGGAGGAGACCCCAGCAGAAAUGCAGCAUCUGCCACUGACUUGAUAUUGUCCAUCCUGAAGUCAGAGAGGAACUGAGGCAGCUGCUUAGAGAGAGAGCCAGGAUGCCACGGGCAAAGAGAUCCGUUCCAGAGGGAGAGCUUUCUGAGGCAAGAGAAGCCUGUGUUAAAUCAGGACAGCUUCCCAUGCAUCCGUUCCCAAAUGGGACCAAUAAUCGGAACCAGGUCUGUGACCUGUUGGUGAACAGUGCAUGGGUCGCAAAGUGCCAGCUCUCCCCUUGGGACUCCUCUAACUGUGUGUUUGUUUGUGCAGGAGUGGAGGCAAGGAAAGCUACCUGGGUUAAGAUGGAUACGAUCUUUCAAUCCAGCUCUGAUUGCUCAAUAUUGCUCAAGAAAUGGAAACUCUUCAAGGUGAUUCUUCUCAGGAUUGCUGGUAGGAGUGAGUGACCUUGGGCAGCAGCACUGGAGAGACCCAGCUGUUCAUUUCUGUGUCAUGCUGUAUCUAUGGCCUCCCCAGGUGCAGAAUCUGACCGCCUGGCCUCUUGCACAUGCAGAGAACAGUGCUACAGCACCACAUCCGCAGACAGCUCCACUGGCUCCCUCUUCGCUGCAGGCUCCAUUUCAGGAAUUACGUGGAGGCCAGAUUGGGCUGGAUCGAUGCUUGGAGGGUUCAUGCUCAGAUCUACCCUUCCCCACUGUCUCUCCUUUCUUCAGACCCUGCCAAGGGCUCUCCACAGACAGCAUUUUCCUCUAUGAUCUUCCCCUGCGGCGGCGAAUCCAACCAGUUGACUGCACAAUGGAUUGCCUGUGAUUUGUCAGCUGACAAUUUCAACUGUCAAGUGAAGGUUACUGGUGAGGGCAAAGUCAAGAUGGAAGAAAGAACACGAUAAAAGGGAGAGACAUUUGCCAUACUCUUCCUCUCUCUGCCACCUACAUCUACAGACACCACACCAAGUGACUGAAGCGCUGAUCAAAGGGGCGAGCCUGGCUGAAGAGCAACCA